rnacentral:rRNA from 1 species
UACGGAGGGGGCUAGCGUUGUUCGGAAUUACUGGGCGUAAAGCGCACGUAGGCGGCUUGAAAAGUUGGAGGUGAAAGCCCAGAGCUCAACUCUGGAAUUGCCUUCAAAACUCUCAAGCUAGAGUUCGGAAGAGGAGAGUGGAAUUCCCAGUGUAGAGGUGAAAUUCGUAGAUAUUGGGAAGAACACCAGUGGCGAAGGCGGCUUCUGCG